GAUGAACGCUGGCGGCGUGCCUAAUACAUGCAAGUCGAGCGAACAGACGCGGAGCUUGCUCCUCUGACGUUAGCGGCGGACGGGUGAGUAACACGUGGAUAACCUACCUAUAAGACUGGGAUAACUUCGGGAAACCGGAGCUAAUACCGGAUAAUAUAUUGAACCGCAUGGUUCAAUAGUGAAAUACGGUUUUGCUGUCACUUAUAGAUGGAUCCGCGCCGCAUUAGCUAGUUGGUAAGGUAACGGCUUACCAAGGCAACGAUGCGUAGCCGACCUGAGAGGGUGAUCGGCCACACUGGAACUGAGACACGGUCCAGACUCCUACGGGAGGCAGCAGUAGGGAAUCUUCCGCAAUGGGCGAAAGCCUGACGGAGCAACGCCGCGUGAGUGAUGAAGGUCUUCGGAUCGUAAAACUCUGUUAUUAGGGAAGAACAAAUGUGUAAGUAACUAUGCACGUCUUGACGGUACCUAAUCAGAAAGCCACGGCUAACUACGUG
rnacentral:rRNA from 1 species